GUCUACCACCAUACCACCCUGAAUACAGCAGAUCUCCAAUCUCGUUUGAUCUCUAAAGCUAAACAGGGUUGAGCCUGGUUAGUACUUGGAUAGGAGAAACUAAAAAUAUAUAUAGGAAAGCUUAUGGAUA
rnacentral:rRNA from 1 species